GCUGGACAUGGUGGCAUGUGCUUCUAGUCCCAGCUAUUUGGGGGGGCUGAGGCAGGAGGAAUGCUUGGGGCCAAAAGUUCUGGGCCAUAGUGCUCUAUGCCAAUUGGAUGUCUGCACUAAGUUUGGCAUCAAUAUGGUGACCUCCUGGGAGUGGGGCCCACCAGGCUGGCAAAGGACGGGUGAAUGGAACCAGGUCAGAAACAGAGGAGGUUAUAACUCCUGUGCUGAUCAGUAAUUAGAUUGCCUGUGAAUAGCUACUGCACUCCAUCCUGGGCAACAUAGUGAGACCCUAUUUAA
rnacentral:SRP_RNA from 1 species